AAAGCUUGUCUUUGAAUACAACUACUAGCAGCACUGGAAACAGAAUCCAGCUCUUCUGGCUUCUGGUCUAGAAGUUUCAUCACCACAAAGAAGUAAAGUGCCUCCAUGGCCACGACCCCAAGGAACUUCAGAGGAAGCAUUUGCAAAGGCCAUUUUGGACGUGCUUGAGACUGCUCUGCUUGUCCCCAAGACCUCAAUUUGCUGCCUGAGCAACUGUGAGCAUAAGAGUGCCUGUGUCAGCAACCCCACCUUCCCCCUCAUGGGACAUCACCAUCUGCUACCUCCCUGCCAGGCUUCCCACUCUUCUACAUGACCUCAAUCAAGGCUUCAGGAGAAUUAGAAGUGGUUCCUGUUAAGAGUCUGGAGGCCUCUGGACGCCGCCACCACGAGCAGCAGCACAUAUACUGGAGAAAGCUACGGUGACCUGGUUCUGAGCGGGCACUCUGCUGCUCACCAGCUUUGUCACAUCUGGCAAGUCACAUAGCAUCUCAGAGUCACAGUUCUUUCUCUUCCUUCUAAAUAACAUCUGUUUCCCAUCUUAAAGGACUGUUGUGAACAAAUAAUAUAUUUAUGGGAAAGCACUUUUUAAUUGAUAAACCAUAAUUAUCUUACAUGAGCCCCAGGCAUCACCAUAAAUAAAUGAAGUAGGGCAGGAAGAAGAAAAACAGGGUAGCAACGUAGUCUACAGUGAAUGACUCUGGGUUUGGGGAGAACAGGAGCAGGAGAGACCAUGCAAAGUGGAGCGCCCAGGAUCUAAUGCUAAGUGACCACUGCCCCUGUGUAAUCAGAGCUGCUGGUUUCCUCAGACACCAGGGAGCUUCACUGUGCAUACAUGAAAACACCCAGGGUAUUUAAAGGUUAGCAACUAAUUCACAACUUUAAAAGCCAGAGAGACCAUUCCUGAAAGGCCAAACAAAACAUGUCCGAGGGCAAAUUUGGCCCUGAGGUGCCCAUGUGUGACGUGUGAUGUACACACACAUCCAUGUGAUGUUCUGUUGUUCAGGAUACACAGGGCUAAGAUCUGCCGCCAUUUCUUCUUAGUGUCCCUCCCCAAGACUUCCCUAUGGCUGCUGACACAGCUGUGUCCUCACAGUGCUAAGAUUUUUCCGAGAGUUCUUCAUGUACCUUCAUGUGUGGACACUGUAAAUAACUCUUCUCAUGAAAAGUUAACUAGGCCUUGAACCAAUCCAACAGGGUCACCAUCUGGUAGUCCUCAGGAACAGUGAACUGUCAGCACUGUAAACAUUUUAGACUUCAUGCAAGACACUGACUUUUUCUAAACUAAUCAUCCCUGCCAGUCAAGAUUUGCAGUAUGGGUUCAGGAACAAGGCAUUCAUUUAACAACAAUAACAAGAAUACUGAGGAUGAAGACCGGGCGGUCAUCAUAAUGAAAGGUCUAAAAGCAAACUGUGACUUCCCUAAUAAGGCGACGACCAAAGUUAGCUCUCUGGCUGUGGAGCACCAAUACAAUUAAUCAGUCUGUUUUCAGUUUUCUCACGACAGCAAUAUUAACAGUUUGCUUUAUUCUGUUUAUAUGGUGCUGACAGGUCUUCAGCAUGUUGGGCCUACUUGCUGGAGAUUAAUGGCUACUCCUAUAUGGAGGUAAAAACCAGGCAAAGAGAGAACGCCUUUCACAACUAGAUAAGAACUGGCUUCUCUUGCUCUCCUUUUGUUCCCCUCUAUUAAUUUCUAUCAGGGUUAUGUAAGAUUAGUUGUGUAUAGUAGGUUUCUCUUAAGUUUAAAUUCUACUUUAAAAUGAAUGCUCUGUCCCCAAGUGACACAGAAACAAAGGGAACUUUAAAUAUUACUUCUGGUUGAUGAAGAGAUGCUAAGUUUAUCAUCUCUCUUAUCAAGGGUGCAGCUGGCUAAUUUUGUUUUUAAAAUGUCAGACUCCUUAUAAAGGUAAAAGGUAAGAGAGGGCUUCUGGUGACAGGAAUCUGAGUAUAUUCGGUGAGUAAUGGCUCCUCUUUGCACCUAUGGUUAUGUAGUGCACACUGUAAGAAGGCAGAAAUGAUAUUAAGUAUGGCCUGCUGCAAGAAGUACAGGCAUCCCAAAAAUCUCAGACCUAUUGUACUAAAUGGUCUUAUUUCAAAUCUUUUUAUUUUGAAAUAACUCCAGACCAGCCCCCUGUAAGAACUGCUGGACACUGGUAUACUUUUCUCUGUGCCAGGGUGGGAAGACAUGGUAAACCCAAAUGCUAUUUUAAUAGCAUCUAAGUAUAGAGAAACUAAGAUAGCAAAUUAAAAAAAAAAAAAAAUCAACCUGUCUCCUCUAGGGUUCUGUAGGAAUCUCAUUCUUUGGUCUUAGGGAACCUGCUGCUGUACUCAUUUUUAUGCAACAACUGCAUGAAUAAGUAUGCGUUGUAUACACAGGAACCUCAGGUCCUAUGGCCAGGAUGAGCUCUCCAGCCCACUUCCUCUGGCUCACUCCUCUCCUGACAUAGGAGAAGGGAACUGGUUCCAGUAGAUAGGGCAUCAGGGGUGGCUUUUAAGUGGAAAUUUUGGGUUUUUAAAAAGAUUUUAUGUAUUUAUUCAUUAGAGACACAGAGGCAGAGACAGAGUGAGAAGCGGGCUCCAUGCAGGGAGCCUGAUGCUGGACUUGAUCCUGGGACUAGGGUACCAUGCCCUGAACCAAAGGCAGAUGCUCAAUCACUGGCCACCCACGCAUCCCUUAAGUGGAAACUUCUAACAAAGAUUUUCAAAGCCAGAGAUAAAUAAGAACAUUCUAGAUAGUAAAACAGUAUUAAUAAUGGUAUUUAUUGAGGGCUUACUAUGUAUAAGCACUACUGUUUAAGCACUUUAGUUGUAAAAAACCAAUUUAAUUCCCACAUUAAAGAAAGUUAAAUCAUGUUUCAAGUACAAGAUAUUUGACAGUAGACCAACAUACUGGACUAGAUUUGCAAAGAUCUUGAAUUCCAAAUUGUACUUAAAUAAUUUGCCUGAUGAAGGUUCAUGAGAGAGGGAAGAAACUGAUGUGAGGCUAGCUAGUCUGAAGGAUAGUGCAAUAGUCUUGAGACUCCAAGCCAGGGUGGUACAUUUAAAGUGAAAAGGAGAAGAAAGAUUUGAGACUUAUCUCUAAAACAUAACCAAUUAAAAUUUUUUGACUGCUUUGAUUUUUUAGUUCCAUUAUUCAUUCAAUAUUCAAUUAUUUUUGAGUUUCAGAUGGGUCAGGCAUUGUACUAAAGGAUAUCUAAAAAAAAAUAAAGUCUGAAGAUCAACUCCUUCCUCAAAAUUGGGCUAUUAGCCAUCAUUCAGUGGUCUAAAGUGACACCACAGUAGACAUCCAUCCAUUCCUCCCUCCUUCCUUUCAUUCAAAACUUACUGAGUGCCUACCUGUGCCAGGAAUGUGUUACAUAAUGGUCAUGAACAAGUGAGGGAAAAAAAUGAAAAAAAGACUGCUCUCUUCAUUUUCAUAGCCCUGGGAGUGCCUUCUUUCUGGAACUUCCAUUCCUUUUCUGGCCAUAGAUGCAGGAUAUGAUGAUAAACCACCAGACUACAGCACAGGUAUUCUUAGUCAUCCAAAUGAAGAGCAGAUCUAUUCAAUUUCUAAAUGUAUGCCCUGGCAUAUUUAUCCAAAGCAAAACACUGUAUCAGAAAGGUAUCUAGGGGCACCCGGGUGGCUCAGACAGCUAAGUGUCUGCCUUCAGCUCAGGUUGUGAUCUCAGGGUCCUGGGAUUGAGCCCCCUGGUGAGCUCCCUGCUCAGCAAGGCCCCUGCUUCUCCCUCUCUUUCUGCCUUUCCACCCUGCUCAGGCUUACUUACUUGCUCUCAAAUGAAUAAAAAAACAAAAAACAAAAAAAAAAACCUUCAAAAAACAGUAUCUAACAUGAUUCCUAAGUGUAGAUUUUAAUAUUCUCUAGAAGGAUAGGCACAGGAAAAACUAGCUCUGAGCAAAGCCAAAAGUGUGAAUAGAACAAAUAUACUUUGAACAGUAUCUCAGGGUACCUGGGUAGCUCAGUGAAUGAGCAUCUGCCUUUGGGUCAGGUCCAGAUCCCAGGGCCCUGGGAUCAAGUCCUGCAUCAGGCUCCUUCUCCCUCUGCCUCUCUGUGUUUCUCAUGAAUAAAUAAAUAAAACUCUUAAAAAAAAUAAAAAUAAAAACCUUGUAUCUAGUUCAGUUGGUAAAUUAGAGACACAUAAUCUUACUGCCUUUCAGGGAAAGCCCUGAUCUUUUAAAAUUAAGAUUUGCCUAGAUUUUAUAAGAAUAAAUCCUGACCAUUUCCUAGUGCUUUUUGAAAAACAACUAGGUAAUAGAAUGACUACCGCUGAGAAGUAUUUUGCUUCGUGGCAGCUGCCUUUUCAUUACUAUUUUAUGAGAGCUUGUCUAGAUAUUAUGUAUUCCUCACUAUCUACGUUUAGUUCUUUUUAAAAUGUCUUCUUCAGAUGCCUGGGAUUAUGUCAGUAUCUUUCUAACCAGAUCCCAAAUAACAAACUAUAUCAUUUUAAUACUUUCCAAAGGUUCUUUUGCAUGUAGGCUCACCUCCAGAAACCAUGACUAAGGUGUGCUUUUGGUCAUUUCUAUUAAAAUAUUAAAAGGUAUUUUUAGGGACCAAUGAACACCAUCAACAAUUAUUUCAAGUAUAAGAUAGUUGGUACAUGCCAAGGGUGAGACUUGAAAUGCCAAUAAAAUCUAACUGUAAAAGAAGGAAUUUGAUGAGAGCAGGCAUAUUUUAACUUCAGUUUUAUUUUGAGGAUCUGGACCUGGUAUGGACUUGUGUGUUCUAUGAAUUCUGAGAUAACUAAGCUAUGGAAGAAGAGCCUGCACAGAUGGGGACAUUUAAAGCAGAAUCCUGGGCCUGUGCAUCUUAGUCCCAGCCCCCACCGCCUGCAUCACUUACCACAACCAUCUCCGUAUGGAAAAGAGGAAUUUGGAGGAAGCAAGUCAAAGACGAGCCCAAAGGAAGAGCCACAGGACUUGGGCAGUCCACAUGGGGAAGGCCAGGGAGGUCAUCUGACGACUUUCUCAGUGGGAGAGGAAAGCCAAGUGGAGCUGCUUGCCCCCUGUGACCUACCUGCGGCGCAGAUCCUCGGCCACAGCGGCCCGGCAGCUGAACAGGUAGGCUCGCAGGGACUUCAGCCGCUGCCGCAGCCGCACCACAGUGGCCAGCGGCUCAGCGUGCAGGUACAGCAUGGGGUUCUCCCGUUGGAUGUCGAUCAGGGGCUCUUCAUACACGUACUCCAGGAACUCUUUGGCCUGCUUAGAUACCUAGGAGAUAAACCUCCUCAGUCAGUCUGGAGAAUCAUCUGGCUUGCCAUACCUCUUCCAACUAGGACCCAGAGUUUAAGUACCAAAGUCACAUUUCUGAACAAGCCAAGAGAAAAAGCCCAUAAUUUAACUAAAUAUAAAUGUUGGUUUUGCUUUCUCUCUUCCGGAAACUUGUAAAAGUAACCUUGGCAUGGAAAGAAAUUAAUUCUGUAUCCUGAUUAUGGUGAUGAUUACAUGAAUCUACAUGUGCUAAAAUGACACAGAACUAUACAGACCCAGGAUACUCAAGUCCACUUCUGUUUUUUUGAUGUUAGUGAUCUAAGACGUAACCAAUGGGAGAAACUGGGUGAAAGGUACAUGGGACCUCUCUUUACUAUCCAUGCAUCUUCAUGUGAAUCUACAAUCUCAAAACUUAACACUACUGAUAAGUCUUAAUUUUUUUUUUAUUUUAAAAACCACAUUCAUGUAUAUUUACCGCUUUUGUAAGUAGCCAUUUUUUAAAAAUAGGUAAAUCAUGUACAUACUAAAAAUUCAAAAGGAAUAAAAGGAUAGCUUAAAAGGACAUUAUAUACAGGAUAACUUGCAUAAAAAACAGGCUCAAAAACACACUGUAGUGAGCAGAAAGGAGUACUCUUAGUAUAACUUUGGGCUUGGACUGACUUAAUAUAUCCAUCCAAUUCUAUAUCCAUUUCUGAUACUAAACAUCAAAACUAUGAGAAAGAUAGUUUUAAAAUGCCAUUGUCAGGUCACCAGGGUGGCUCAGUCAGUUAAGCAUCUGCCUUGGGCUCAGGGUUCUGGGAUUGAGCCCCACAUGGCUCUCUGCUCAGCAGGGAGUCUGCUUCUCCCUCUCUCUCCCUCUGUGCUCCCCCUCAAAGAAGUAGUAAACAAAAUCUUUUAAAAAAUGUCAUUGUCACUAGAGUAGAAACACAAGGUGUCUGAGAUACAGAGGGAGUAGCUUAAAUAAUGUAUAACAAGUGGGUAAUUUGAGGGACUCUUUACAUACCAAUUCACUAAUUCUGAGAUAUGGAUUGGCUAGUGACAUGUAGAUUUGGCUUAGUUUCUAUUUAUGGAAGGUAAAACCUCUAUAAAAAUUUCCACCAAAACUGCUCUAGUACUAGGAGUAAGGAUAGAAUUCAACAUUAAAAAUUGAAAAUCCACAAUGCUUUGCUUUACAUUCCAGACUAUAAGUUUAUUAAUGAAGAUAAAUAGGAUGCAGUCCUUGCCCUCAAGGGACUAUUUAGUAUAAGAGAUAAAUAUUUAAAACAAAAACUACAUGUAGUACAGAGCCUGUCCUCUACUAUAAAAGAAAUACAGAUGGGGUGCACUGGUAUCUUGAAGGAGAAAUCAACUGUCCUGCGGGGGAAGGGAGCCCUUGGCAAAGCAAGCCACACUGCCUCAAGGUCUAGAAGGAUAAACAUAAAUUCAUUUGGUGGGCAAAGAUGGUACAGAGGAGAGUACCACAAGUAGAUCCAACCAUGAAAACAAAUCAAUACGAAUAGGUGGUAACUAAAUGUAAGGCUAUUGCAUGUUGAUUAAAACACAUUUAUGUAAUUUAAUAUUUUCUAAUAUAAAGCUCAACAAAAGUGUUAUGGAGAGAUACAAAAAAUGGCCUUGAUGUUUUUUUUUUCCCUAAUGAAAGUCUCAUCCCCCCCCCCGAUUAUUAGCAAUUAUUUUUGAGGUACCUGUUGUGUGAUCCUUUGGGGUCCUGCAGUUACAUAGGGGGUGAAGUUUACAGUCUCUGUAAACCAGCUCACAAAGAGGCACCCAGAAUUAGCCAAAACCUUUCACUAUUUAACCAGACGGGAAAUAACCAUUGGCAGGGAUAAAUAACGCCUCACUUAGAGGCGCAGAGACACAGGUACAUGCCAGAUAAAUAUCAUAGCCGGUACUAGUGGAGAAUAAAGCAGGCAUGGCCCUGUCCUCAUGUAGCUCAAGGUUCAGUGGAGAAAGAGAGAAUUGGGUUCAAAUAUUUUAUUUAUCAUAGUUAAAUAUUUGCUAUAUUUAAAUAUCUUAAAUGAGGAAAAAACGGAUGGUGUUCUGGGAAAAGAAGUACAGUCCACUUGAAACUGUUGCUGAAAAAUGAUGUAUUGUACAAUUCAAUUAGUCUUCCUGGCUCUAUUGAGCAGUGUUUAUACUGAGUCAGGGCCCUGCUAAAUUAGGCUAACAAUACUACCUUUUAGUAGGUGAACAGAAGGACAAAGGGCACUGGCCAGUCUCCCAGGCCUGAAAAGGCUUCUCUCUUCAGGUGGUACUUAAGCCCAAAAGGGGGAAAAAAAAAAGUCUUUUACAGAGACAGUAUAAGCAGUGAGACAAAUGGCACAGCAGCUACCGACAGUGUUCAUAAGCUGAAAUUACUAAAAACAAAAACAGAGCUAGUUCAAUAAUGUCUAAGGCACUGCUUCACAAAGUUAUUACCAAGGGUUAAGAAUACAGAGCAUACUGUGACCAUGGCUGCCUGAGUAGGUGAACGAACCCCUGUAACUCUGAGGAAUGGUUUUGGCAGCGUGGUUGAGCACACACUCACUUUUGAGAAUCCACCACUUACAAUGGUAAGGGAAUUUUUGAAAGAACUAAUAAGAAUUUGGCAUAAAAUGCUAUUUUUGCAAAAUCGAAUGCUAUAUCCCCAUUGGUUUCUUAAGUUCUAAAUAACCCUGCAUACUGGUAUAAGGAUUCCAUUUUCAAACUCAACUAUAAUUGGAAAGCUUUUUAAAAACGACAUUAAACAUAUAUAGUUACUUAGGGAAGGAAGCCAAUGAUAUUCUUAGGUGAUAAAGUUUAUGUGAGAGAAAGUUUCUUUCCUGUUAACAGAAAUAUUACAUAAAUUAUACGUGAACACCAAAUAUAUUCCACCUAAGAGCUACUGUCCUAUUUCUUGCCAACCAAAUUAUGAAAACCAUGAAAAAGCCCAAGUGCAUUUUCUGAUAUAUAUAAAAACUCAGCUCAUAGGUGCAGAUGGAUAGGCCCAAUACAUUUUUAAAAAUGGUUUUGGUUGGCAUUCUUUUCCAUGAUCCCGGGAACUCCAUUCACAUUAGAAGCAACUUUUGUAGGGUCAAUAGUUCAUUUUUCAAAUCUACUGACCUUUUAGUAUUUUACUAAAUAAUAUUUAAGGUUUAUUAAUAAUAUAAUUUCUUUCCAUACCUUUUAGCUUAUAAACAGACUAAGUUAUAAGAGCUCAAGUCUGUGACUUUAUUUUAUUGCAAUUUGUGAACUGGUGUCCCCUUCACAGGGCUGUAGUCCACGGGAUUCAGGAGCUGAGCAGGAGAAAGUCGAGGUAGAAAGCAAUUUCUCCACACCUCACACACGAGUUGUUGGAAGAAACAGCAAGUGGGUUAUAAUUAGCUACAAAUUAAUAAUGACCAAAUCUAUAUUUACAUAUGUAUUUAUAAAUAAACAUAGUUGUUAUUUGAGUAGUAACCAUCACUAGUAUAGAUUUAAACAUAAUACAUCUUUUGUUAAGCUGGUGACGGCUACCUCUUAAAAACAGACUUCUCAAAAAUUCAGGUUUACGUAAUUCUGAGAAAGAGGUUCUGGAAUGGUGUCCUGGUAUGCUCCCCCACAAAAAUAGCCCUGGGUAAGACAGCAAUGGAGCAAAGGGAAUGUUUAACCAGAGACAGCAAUUUGGAGAUUGGGGCAGGGGAGGUGGAUAGUCAGGACUUCAGUUAAAACAGAUGAGGGACACCUGGGUGGCUCAGCCUUUGGCUCAGGGCACAAUCCUGAGGUCUCAGGAUCAAGUCCACAUCAGGCUCCUUGCAGGAAGCCUGCUUCUCACUCUGCCUAUGUUUCUGCCUGUCUCUGUCUCUCAUGAAUAAAUUAAAUAUUAAAAAAAAAAAAAAAAACCAGGUGAGAACAGAGUUUUAGAAUAAGAAGAACUGGUACAAGUAUCUAGUUCAGUUUUUCUCAGACUGUGUUCCAAGGAAUACUAGUCCCACAAAAAUGGUGUUCUGAGGUCCACCAAGAAAAAUGCCACAGGCCACAUUCUUCCCUUGGUGAUUCAAAGUGUAGCAUGUUAGCCUACAAAAGCUUAUGGAUAUCCUUGUCUGCCUCACAUGCUUAGGCCAGCAAUUUCCCAAACCUAUCUGACUGCAGACAGGCAGCUAUGUACUGUCGUACGGGAAACUCAGUCUGGGGCCUGUUUAUCAACCGGAGGAAAGGGCUGCUGUCUCCAACUCCUUCCAUCCUCUUGCCAUGCUGUGAGCUCCCAGGGAUGUUUUCUCUUGAGGGGCCCUGUUCCAGUUACAAAGCUGUCCUAGCUGUGGCCCUCCUAUAGAACCCUCUUUUUGAGGAACACCUAUUAACAAGCACAGACCUUGUUAAUGAUCCAUGGAACAUAUUCUGAGAAAUGCUGAAUUAAUAUACUUAGUAGGAAAAAAACCCACUGAAUCCAGAGAGCUUAAAGAUCUCUGGAUACUCUGUUUUGUGCUUUUUAGUAUUAUUUAUAUCACAGUUCUUUUUAUUUUUUAACAACUCUACCAUAAACUCUCUCAUCAUCACCCCUCAAAGAAGGUGAUGCCUGUCCAUGUUCUCUCCUUCCUUUUUCCCAAAUACAAAGCCAAGGCAUUACAAAGGGAGACUAACCGAUGAUAUAAUUUAGUAGUAUGCUGGCCAUUUGAUUUUAACUAUGAAACAAAAAUUAAAGUCCAGGGGCUCCUGGGUGGCUGAGUCAGCUAAGCAUCUUCCUUAGGCUCAGGUCAUGAUCCCAGGGUUCUGGGAUUGAGCCCUGUGUCAGGCUCCCUGCUUCUCCCGCUCCCUCUGUCUGCUGCUCCCCCUGCUUGUGUUCUCUGUCAAAUAAAUAAAAUCUUUAAAAAGAAAGUCCAGUAACACACCAUUUAUCUAGAAGUCACUUAUUUGUGUAUUUGUUUACGGUCUUUCUCCCUCCACUGGAGUACAAGCAUUCAAAAGGCAGAGACUAUAUCUCCACUGCCUAGAACAGUGAGCAUGGUGAGUGUUCAAUUAAUA